rnacentral:tRNA from 1 species
AAGCUUAUAGCUCAGUUGGUUAGAGCAUACGCCUGAUAAGCGUAAGGUCAGUAGUUCAAGUCUACUUAAGCUUA